GGGGCCGUAACGGUUUCGACAGGUUGGCGAAAGCUUUUCUGUGAUUCAGGACGAGAGUGAGUCUUCUCUCGAUAAUACCGGGCUCAAACAAAAAGUAACUGCGAACAACAUUGUUCCUUUCGCUCGUAAGUCUGCUCUUGUAGCUGCUUAAUAGUCCUUAACAAAGACCGAGCACUUGUAGUCUGACUCCGUUAAGGGCUACGGGUAAACCCCAACGGAUGCUCCCUUUAGCUGCGUCUGGUCGGCUAUUGGGCUAAGAGUUACCAGAAAUUCCUUGGUCAUUCAGGAUAAGUAAUGAUCCCCGCUCUGAGGGUUAAAAGAGCUAAGCCUGUGAAUGAGCGGACGGUUAAUACCCAGUCUGGACAGCAGUUCGACUCUGCUCGGCUCCAUGA
rfam:Cyanothece sp. PCC 7822, complete genome.